GGAGGAGAGAGGGACCCUAGGAGGGAUGUAAAGGAGUUGAUGAAAUCCUGUCAAGACAGACAAUCAGAUUGUAUGGCCUCUGAGGACCCCCAAGACCAACUGGAUGAGGCUAUUAAAAAGGCAGAAUGGCUUGCUGAGGAGCUCAACCAAUAGAAGGACCCACAAGCCCAACUGGAAGAGGCCAUUAAUGAGGCAAAAGGGCUGGCUGAGGAGCUCAACCCAUGUAACAAGUCGUACAUUACUGGUAAUGUAACCCCUUUAGCUCCCAUACGUGCAGAAAUAUUCCCAACACAACCCCAGCACCACAGCGUUAUGAUUCAUCAUUGCAUUUUGUUUGUCAAAGUAGAACCCACAUGGCACAAAUGUACAUUUACAUGUAGACUCCGUGAUAUGACCUGAUCACAGUCAUCAAUGAUAUUGCCCAUUGAGCAUGAGGCACAAGGGUGCACUUGUUAGCAUCCUUGUGAACUUCUACACAUGUUGGCUGUGUGAGUGAGCCAGAACGUGGGUCUACUGCAGGUGUCUUUCCUCAGCUGACAAAUCACUUCACCUUAUGUGAAAAUAAAAGUCUUGCUUGUGCUCCAUAUGUGCAUAAGCAAGCCAUGCUUGUGGGAGACUUUUAUUAGUGGGCCAGCCAUGAUGAUUGAAAUGCACUUUUUAGGAAAAUAAGAAAAGACAAACAAGCCUCCAGGGAUUAGGUUCAGAUGGAGACAAAGGGAUGAGAGAGGACAGAUUGUUCCUCAAACCAGGAAGGCAACUACAUCCACUUCUAUAGCUCCUAGGGCCAGCAUACCAAGAGCCAGACUAGUGCAACCUUCUGGGCCAGUCACUGAGGAGGAAGAAUCAGGUAUUGAUGAGCGAUUGAAUAGAUUAAUAUAUACAAUUCCUUGUUAUUCAGUGGCCUUAAAUAAUUUAUUGUAUUUUUAUUUUUAUUAAAGCCGUAAUCAGUAGUUGAGACAAUAACAAA